rnacentral:rRNA from 1 species
UGGCUCAGAUUGAACGCUGGCGGCAGGCCUAACACAUGCAAGUCGAGCGGUAGAGAGAAGCUUGCUUCUCUUGAGAGCGGCGGACGGGUGAGUAAUGCCUAGGAAUCUGCCUGGUAGUGGGGGAUAACGUUCGGAAACGGACGCUAAUACCGCAUACGUCCUACGGGAGAAAGCAGGGGACCUUCGGGCCUUGCGCUAUCAGAUGAGCCUAGGUCGGAUUAGCUAGUUGGUGGGGUAAUGGCUCACCAAGGCGACGAUCCGUAACUGGUCUGAGAGGAUGAUCAGUCACACUGGAACUGAGACACGGUCCAGACUCCUACGGGAGGCAGCAGUGGGGAAUAUUGGACAAUGGGCGAAAGCCUGAUCCAGCCAUGCCGCGUGUGUGAAGAAGGUCUUCGGAUUGUAAAGCACUUUAAGUUGGGAGGAAGGGCCAUUACCUAAUACGUGAUGGUUUUGACGUUACCGACAGAAUAAGCACCGGCUAACUCUGUGCCAGCAGCCGCGGUAAUACAGAGGGUGCAAGCGUUAAUCGGAAUUACUGGGCGUAAAGCGCGCGUAGGUGGUUUGUUAAGUUGGAUGUGAAAUCCCCGGGCUCAACCUGGGAACUGCAUUCAAAACUGACUGACUAGAGUAUGGUAGAGGGUGGUGGAAUUUCCUGUGUAGCGGUGAAAUGCGUAGAUAUAGGAAGGAACACCAGUGGCGAAGGCGACCACCUGGACUGAUACUGACACUGAG